GAGGAGCCCGCGGCCGAUUAGCUAGUUGGUGAGGUAACGGCUCACCAAGGCAAUGAUCGGUAGCUGGUCUGAGAGGAUGGCCAGCCACACUGGAACUGAGACACGGUCCAGACUCCUACGGGAGGCAGCAGUGGGGAAUCUUGCGCAAUGGGCGAAAGCCUGACGCAGCGACGCCGCGUGGGGGAUGAAGCUUCUCGGAGUGUAAACCCCUUUCGACCGGGACGAAUGCCCGGCAAGGGAGUGAACGGUACCGGUAGAAGAAGCCCCGGCUAACUACGUGCCAGCAGCCGCGGUAAGACGUAGGGGGCCAGCGUUGUUCGGAAUUACUGGGUGUAAAGGGUUCGUAGGCGGUGUGGCAAGUCGGGAGUGAAAUUUCUGGGCUUAACUCAGAGACUGCUUCCGAAACUGCUGUGCUGGAGUGUGGGAGAGGCGCGUGGAAUUGCAGGUGUAGCGGUGAAAUGCGUAGAUAUCUGCAGG
rnacentral:rRNA from 1 species